rnacentral:rRNA from 1 species
AACGAACGCUGGCGGCAGGCCUAACACAUGCAAGUCGAACGGGACCUUCGGGUCUAGUGGCGGACGGGUGAGUAACGCGUGGGAACGUACCCUUUGGUUCGGAAUAGCCCCGGGAAACUGGGAGUAAUACCGGAUAAGCCCUACGGGGGAAAGAUUUAUCGCCAAAGGAUCGGUCCGCGUUGGAUUAGGUAGUUGGUGGGGUAAUGGCCUACCAAGCCGACGAUCCAUAGCUGGUUUGAGAGGAUGAUCAGCCACACUGGGACUGAGACACGGCCCAGACUCCUACGGGAGGCAGCAGUGGGGAAUCUUAGACAAUGGGGGAAACCCUGAUCUAGCCAUGCCGCGUGAUCGAUGAAGGCCUUAGGGUUGUAAAGAUCUUUCAGUGGGGAAGAUAAUGACUGUACCCACAGAAGAAGCCCCGGCUAACUACGUGCCAGCAGCCGCAGUAA